ensembl:snRNA U6 U6 spliceosomal RNA
GCUCUCUCUGGCAGUGCAUCUACUAAAAUUGCAAUGCUACAGAGAGCAGCAUGGCUCCUGUGCAAGGAUGACACACAAAUUGCAAAGUGCUCCACAGUUUUU